GAACUUACAUCAACUGUAAAUGAGAAGGCAUUCAAUUCAGAGGAUGCGCCACAAGUACGGAAGAAAGACUCAAUUCAUUGCAAUACAUGGAUUGACUGAAUUGGCGUCGAAGCCCCUUACAAGGAGUAGAGAACAAUGUCGCAUCAGAUGUACUGCAAGUAUAUAUACAUAUUUGAAUUUCGAAUUUGAAUUUUUGUAGGGUUUGUGAUUUUCCACUUCUCCAUCCAACGGUAAUGAACCGUAACGCUCAGUCCCUACAUUUUGUUAUUUAAAUUUUCACAGAUUCAUUUUCUUCUCUCUUCCACGCCCUCUCUCUUCCCCCUCUGAACUCCAGUCUGUCCCUCUUUUCCUCUCUCCCUCUCUCUCUCGGCUAGCCCCAUCACCGCCCAACUCGGACCGUUGUCGCAUCGUCGUUCGUAUUUUAAUCGGCCCACACUUGCGGGGCUAGUUCUCAUUCUUGGCCCCACUCGAAAAGCGUAAGAUCUGCUCACGCUCAGUCCCUACAUUUUGUUAUUUAAAUUUUCACAGAUUCAUUUUCUUCUCUCUUCCACGCCCUCUCUCUUCCCCCUCUGAACUCCAGUCUGUCCCUCUUUUCCUCUCUCCCUCUCUCUCUCGGCUAGCCCCAUCACCGCCCAACUCGGACCGUUGUCGCAUCGUCGUUCGUAUUUUAAUCGGCCCACACUUGCGGGGCUAGUUCUCAUUCUUGGCCCCACUCGAAAAGCGUAAGAUCUGCUCUUGGAAAAUCUCAAUGCGGUGGAGGAUAAAACUCUUUCGAUGGUAUGGAUGUUAAGUUUUUCUAGAAUUUAGUUCUACCGCUCAGUUAUUCAUAGACAGUACUGGAUUUAUAACUGUAUUUCGUUUUCUCCUUGGUCCGGUUAUUUUUCUUAAUAUUGUUGUUGUUUGGUACUUAUUCUUGAAGUCUAAGUUGCGUUUUCACCAAAUGUCUGAUAAUAAUAUAAUUUCCAAUUCUGUUAAAUACAAGGAAGAUAUGCUAGUUCAAAAAGGAAAUUCUAAUGCCAUAAUCUGUUUAACUGAUUGCGUAUACUUGUCUUAGAAAGAAGAUAAUACAUAUCGACAAGUUGUAAAUGCUGAGUUUUCCUGGAAAGUUUUCUUUCUAAUGUGAUUUGUUUGCAAAGGGAAUCCUAAGAGAGAGUUUAGACAUAUCCGUACUUGUUUACAGUGAGGCAUACAUGUGUAUUCAGAUAGAUUAGUCGAGGAGGCUCAGAAGGCAGUCCCAAACUGAUUUCAGUGUGGUAAGUUAGAAACUUUUAGCUAACUUCAUAUUUCAUUUUUAAUCUUAGUUCCAAACCUGCUGGAACACAAGUGUCAGUUAUGGGCAUGAAACUUUUCUUGCUUGUGUGUGUAUAAAACUCAUAAAAAUAUGAAGUAGAUAAUAUGCUGGAAGAGGGAGGGAGAGUAUAUUGAGGAGCUUCUGCUAGCUUAUGCUGUGUUGAGGAGGGUGGCCUUAGUUUUGGAUGAAAAAUGAGACAGAGACUGGCGACUUCACCUCGAGAACACUUCCAACAUUGUACUUUAAUCAUAUCCACUCUUAACCUCCCAAGAACCAAAUGUGCCAACUUAAGCAGUUCAGGCUUUCUGUGUUGUUGCAUUUUUGCAUGACUUGCAAUCUCUUUAGAGAGGGCUGGAUGGUAGGUAAACUGCCUGUAAGGCCUACUUUUAAUCUAAAGAAGAUGAGAGAUAACCUACAUUUGCUGGAGAUUCCCACAUUUACACUGUUUUCAUAUGUGAAAGCUUGUUGGAAAUUUCCAUUUUCCACAUUUCUAGUUCAUGUUUUACUCUUGAAUAUAAUCGUUUAUAUGGUUAGUAAUGUUGCAUUUGGUUGUUCACAGAAAAAAUAAGUUUUUUUUAGUAAGUUAAACUUUAAAACGAUCAAAUGACAAUUGGCACACACUUCCCCUGCAUUUUCUAUAUUUUAAUACUUGUGCUUAUAUUGUUUUCCUUUCUUUUCAAACUACCUAGAAAUUGUUAUUUGUAUUCCAAUAUUUUCUUUUUUGUAAUAUAUUGUUUACAUGCUUUAUGUAUUUUAGGUACAAGGCUUGUCAGCCUGUGAUGCUAUUUUGCUAGUAAUUUUUUUUUUCAUAAAAACCUAUUUCCAGCAGCUACAAAUUGCUGGAAAUAUACAUGCUUCUUUUGGCAAUUAAAAUAGCCGCAAAUAAGCAUGCUGCUCUAAUUUUUUAUGUUCUUUUCCUUUCUAUUUUCUUAUUUUUCGCUUUUCCUGAAAUUUUUUUGAUGUUUUUUGUCUGAGGUUUGGUUCUAAUAAGCUGAAAUGGAAUUGGGUUUUGUUCUCGAACACAUUUGCAGCUUAGUUUUCUUGUAUUGAAAAUUGUCAUUGAUCUCCCAAAUAUUAAUAUAGAAUGGCUAUUUGUUUUGGCAGGUGCUCAGGCUGUUGCCACCUGAGUUUAUAUGCAUGUAUUUUCUUGCCAUUAAGUGCUUUUCUUGCUAUUGCUUUUAUUUGUUUUUUUUUUUUUUUUAAUGUAUUGUAGUAUUUGUGACACCAUGAAAAAAAAAAAAAGGAAAAUGGAAUUAUUGGCUGUAAGGGUUAGUAGGUUUAGUUGGUCUAAAGUUACUGAAUCCCACUUUUAACAUGCUUUAUAGCACCUAGGUCAAUUCAGAAUAUAUCCAAACAAUGCCUUAUUAGAUUAUCCAACGUUUCUCACUUUUUCUUUUUCUUUUUCGUGAAGUAAUUUAUUUAACUAGUAUUUUUUGUUUUUAUGAUGAAGCUUUACAUUUAUUAUAUAAUCUUUUGAUCCAUUUCAUUUGUUUUAACCUUUUUACUCAUUGACAAAGAUUAUAAUGUUUGAAGUUUUAAUAAAAUUUACAGUUAUCCAUGCAAUUCAAAAUAUAAAAUAUAUUAAUUACUUUUCUUACAAAGAAUUGCUUUUAUACCUUAGAGGCGUUGGAGCAUUCAUUUGCUGCAGCCUUGAAUGGCUGAACAAAAGGGAAUAUGUAUUUUUAUUUUGUUAAUAACUGCAAUAUAUCAUCAAUAAUGAUCAAUUGCUUGUAUUAUUGCAUUGGAGGGCACAUAUUUACAUACAUAUGGGUGCGAGAGGGCUUGAUUUUUAUUUUUAUUUUUUAAUUUCAGACAAAUAGCAAGUCUUUUUGGUUUCUCUAUCUUCUUCAUUAGGGUUCUUUAGUUGUCUCAUGCCAUCAUCUCUCAUGGACUAUUAUUUCUCAAGGUCUAUCCUUCAUCCUAGAUAAAAUUAUUUACCAGUCUUUAAUUUGUUGCAUUUCAAAUUUAUCAGCGUAAUGGACUAUUUUAAUCUUUUUACACAAAACAAACAUUACUCAAAUGUUUGAAGUUUUAAGGAAAGAAUAUAUAAGAUAUUUUAGUUAUUUCGUUUAUAAUAUAAUCACUUUUAUAUUGUAUAUUAUUUCAAAUAUUAUAAUUAAUAUAUACUAUCUUAUAUUAAACAUUUUAUACUAAUAUAUGCUAUCUUUUUUAAGGUGUUGGGGCAUUCAAUUGCUGCAACCAUAGAUGGCAGAACAAAAGAAGAUAUAUAUAUAUAUUUUUUUUUUGUUUUAUUAAUUAUUGUAAUAUUUCUGUGUAAGAAGGGCCGUGACUUGCAUUUUUUACUUUAUUUCCUUUUUUCCUCUCCAUAUUCUUGGUAUUCUCGUCUAAUACGUUUCUUAAGUUUGUUAAACUAAUGAUAUUUUUGGAAGAAUUAGAAGAAAGUAACGUACUACAUAAAAGCAAUUGCUGAAGAAAGAGGUUUCAUGCAAGGUCAAGCUUUAAUCAAAUAUCUCUCUCUUUCUAUUUCUCUCUCUUUGCCUAAAACUCCAUAACACGCACGUAAACACAUACAUACACAAACAAGCACAUACACACACAUACAUACUGACGUACGUAUACAUACACAUAUACGUCUAUACACACACACAUACACAUACAUACAAACAAACACAUACAUACAUACAU